CUGCCUUCAGAUCUGGGCUCCGAAGGCAGCUGUUGCUGAAUUUUCUACAGUUAGAAGAGGUUCCCAGAGAUGGAGAUUAUCACGGCAAGAGCUUGGUACUUCAGAAAGCGAUCUAGUUGCUGGAAAGGUGAGGGGGAGCACUUAUCUGACUCUUAAUGAAAUCCAGGAAAUUUCAGUGCAUUUACCAGAAUGACAACUUACCGUAUGAAGAUUGAGAUAUAUAAUAGUCCAUCUGUGUAGCUGCUAUUUCACAUUGAAUUUGAGAUAGCAUAAUUAAGAUUAUAUA